AGAGGAGAGAGAGGAACAGAGAGGGAGAAUGAGGACAGAACAGAGAUGGAACAAGAGCAGACUAUGAUGACCUGGAUGACUGAGAACCUUCACAGACAACAUGGCCCUUGCUUCUCUAAGAUGAUGAUGUCAUUCCUUGUCGGCUUUGUGUUCCCCAGACCAGCAAACCACCCCGACUUGUGCUUUUUAUAAACUUUUAUGCUUACUGCAUGAUUAACAAAUAUUGCAUAUUUGUUAAUCAUGUUUUUCUAAAUAUCAUCCUCAAUCAAAUCAGGCUAAGAAUGAUAUAUAAACAAAUCCUGAUCUAUCUAUCUAUCUAUCUAUGGAGAGAGAGAGAGAGAGAGACAGACAGAGCGAGCGUAUGUGCCCUGUUGCAUUGUCUUAUUAACUUAAGGAAAUCUUAUUUGAGACCUUAUAAGAUCAGCAUUUACUCAAAGAAUUCAUUUGCCAUAAAACAAUGCAACAAUUAUAGUAACACUGAUACAUGUGUGGAGAAUACCUUGCUUGUGUUGGGAAAAGAAAGUACAAUAAACUACACAGGAAUGAAACAAAAACUUUUUUAGUGCGAAAUGUAAUAAGCUGCAAAACAACUAAAAAACUCAUAUCGAACAAUUAACUUUGGUGAUUGCUCUGCUAGUUUAGUGUUUCCUGGAAGUGCAAAGCAAAGUGGAAUACAGCACCGGGUAUCAACUAAUACUCCUGUACUUAAUACUACUGUACUUAUCCUGCUACGACAAGUCAGAACGUCUGCUGUGAAAACAAAUCUGUUUGAUUAGUUAAAAUCAUCUUCUUGAUAUCAUCAUUAAAGAUUUGUUUAUGCUGGA